rnacentral:rRNA from 1 species
ACGAACGCUGGCGGCGUGCUUAACACAUGCAAGUCGAACGGAAAGGCCCUGCUUUUGUGGGGUGCUCGAGUGGCGAACGGGUGAGUAACACGUGAGUAACCUGCCCUUGACUUUGGGAUAACUUCAGGAAACUGGGGCUAAUACCGGAUAGGAGCUCCUGCUGCAUGGUGGGGGUUGGAAAGUUUCGGCGGUUGGGGAUGGACUCGCGGCUUAUCAGCUUGUUGGUGGGGUAGUGGCUUACCAAGGCUUUGACGGGUAGCCGGCCUGAGAGGGUGACCGGCCACAUUGGGACUGAGAUACGGCCCAGACUCCUACGGGAGGCAGCAGUGGGGAAUAUUGCACAAUGGGCGGAAGCCUGAUGCAGCAACGCCGCGUGCGGGAUGACGGCCUUCGGGUUGUAAACCGCUUUCGCCUGUGACGAAGCGUGAGUGACGGUAAUGGGUAAGAAGCACCGGCUAACUACGUG